rnacentral:rRNA from 1 species
CGCGUAACACGUAAGCAACCUGCCCCAAAGACCGGGAUAACAUUCCGAAAGGGAUGCUAAUACCGGAUGUGGCCACGAGGAUGCCUAUCUUUGUGAUUAAACCGAGCAAUCGGCUUUGGGAGGGGCUUGCGGCCUAUCAGCUAGAUGGUGGGGUAACGGCCUACCAUGGCGACGACGGGUAGCUGGUCUGAGAGGACGGCCAGCCGGACUGGGACUGAGAUACGGCCCAG